rnacentral:rRNA from 1 species
UACCAUUCAGUGGGGGAUAACGUAGCGAAAGCUACGCUAAUACCGCAUAUUCUGUGAGCAGGAAAGCAGGGGAUCGCAAGACCUUGCGCUGAUUGAGCGGCCGAUAUCAGAUUAGCUUGUUGGUGAGGUAAAAGCUCACCAAGGCGACGAUCUGUAGCGGGUCUGAGAGGAUGAUCCGCCACACUGGAACUGAGACACGGUCCAGACUCCUACGGGAGGCAGCAGUGGGGAAUUUUGGACAAUGGGGGCAACCCUGAUCCAGCCAUGCCGCGUGAGUGAAGAAGGCCUUCGGGUUGUAAAGCUCUUUCAGCCGGGAAGAAAACGCAUGGGUUAAUACCCUGUGUGGAUGACGGUACCGGAAUAAGAAGCACCGGCUAACUACGUGCCAGCAGCCGCGGUAAUACGUAGGGUGCGAGCGUUAAUCGGAAUUACUGGGCGUAAAGCGUGCGCAGGCGGUUUUGUAAGACAGGCGUGAAAUCCCCGGGCUUAACCUGGGAACUGCGUUUGUGACUGCAAGGCUAGAGUACGGCAGAGGGGGGUGGAAUUCCACGUGUAGCAGUGAAAUGCGUAGAGAUGUGGAGGAACACCAAUGGCGAAGGCAGCCCCCUGGGUCGAUACUGACGCUCAUGCACGAAAGCGUGGGUAGCAAACAGGAUUAGAUACCCUGGUAGUCCACGCCCUAAACGAUGUCAACUAGGUGUUGGGAGGGUAAAACCUUUUAGUACCGGAGCUAACGCGUGAAGUUGACCGCCUGGGGAGUACGGCCGCAAGGUUAAAACUCAAAGGAAUUGACGGGGACCCGCACAAGCGGUGGAUGAUGUGGAUUAAUUCGAUGCAACGCGAAAAACCUUACCUACCCUUGACAUGCCAAGAACUUUCCAGAGAUGGAUUGGUGCCCGAAAGGGAACUUGGACACAGGUGCUGCAUGGCUGUCGUCAGCUCGUGUCGUGAGAUGUUGGGUUAAGUCCCGCAACGAGCGCAACCCUUGUCGUUAAUUGCCAUCAUUUAGUUGGGCACUUUAACGAGACUGCCGGUGACAAACCGGAGGAAGGUGGGGAUGACGUCAAGUCCUCAUGGCCCUUAUGGGUAGGGCUUCACACGUCAUACAAUGGUCGGUACAAAGGGUCGCCAAGCCGCGAGGUGGAGCCAAUCCCAGAAAGCCGAUCGUAGUCCGGAUCGCAGUCUGCAACUCGACUGCGUGAAGUCGGAAUCGCUAGUAAUCGUGGAUCAGAAUGUCACGGUGAAUACGUUCCCGGGUCUUGUACACACCGCCCGUCACACCAUGGGAGCGGGUUCCGCCAGAAGUAGGUAGCCUAACCGCAAGGAGGGCGCUUACCA